rnacentral:rRNA from 1 species
GACGUAGGAUGCGAGCGUUGUCCGGAAUUAUUGGGCGUAAAGAGUUCGUAGGCGGUUGCCUAAGUCUGAUGUUAAAUACUGGAGCUCAACUCCGGCAUGGCAUUGGAAACUGGGCGGCUAGAGUGUGGUAGAGGUCUCGGGAAUUCCAGGUGUAGCGGUGAAAUGCGUAGAUAUCUGGAGGAACACCGGUGGCGAAAGCGCGAGACUGGGCCAUAACUGACGCUGAGGAACGAAAGCCAGGGGAGCGAAAGGG